rnacentral:rRNA from 1 species
AGACGUAGGGGGCGAGCGUUGUCCGGAAUGAUUGGGCGUAAAGGGCGCGUAGGUGGCGCGGGAAGUCUGGAGUGAAAGUCCUGCUUUCAAGGCGGGACUUGCUUUGGAUACUGCCGCGCUUGAGUGCAGGAGAGGUUAUCGGAAUUCCCGGGGGAGCGGUGAAAUGCGUAGAGAUCGGGAGGAACACCAGUGGCGAAGGCGGGUAACUGGACUGCAACUGACGCUGAGGCGCGAAAGUGUGGGGAGCAAACAGGAUUAGAUACCCUGGUAGUCCACGCUGUAAACGAUGAAUGCUAGGUGUAAGAGGUAUCGACCCCUUUUGUGCCGGAGUCAACACAAUAAGCAUUCCGCCUGGGGAGUACGGCCGCAAGGUUGAAACUCAAAGGAAUUGACGGGG